rnacentral:rRNA from 1 species
UACGGAGGGUGCAAGCGUUAUCCGGAUUCACUGGGUUUAAAGGUGCGUAGGUGGGAAUGUAAGUCAGUGGUGAAAUCUCCGUGCUUAACACGGAAACUGCCAUUGAUACUAUGUUUCUUGAAUUUUCUGGAGGUUAGCGGAAUAUGUCAUGUAGCGGUGAAAUGCUUAGAUAUGACAUAGAACACCAAUUGCGAAGGCAGCUAACUACAGGGAUAUUGACACUGAGGCACGAAAGCGUGGGAUCAAACAGG